rnacentral:rRNA from 1 species
UUUGACGGCGAUUUCUUAAAAUCUGUCUGCGAUUUACAAUCGGGGUUAAAAUCAUGCAGUCUGAACUUGGCAUAAGCAGAGUCUGGUCAGUACCUAGAUGGGAGACCACAUGAGAACACUAGGUUGCUGUCGAAA